AGACCAGAGAGGGAGAGAGAGCGAGAGAGAGAGAGAGAGAGAGAGUGAGAAAGAGAGAGAGGGGGAAGAGACCAGGCAGUGGAGGGAGCAGAGACAGAGCAUGCUGACAGAGGAAGUUCAGUGUGCUCUGCAGCCUGAGGAACAUGUGCUCAGCAAUUAACUGCGGCUUGUCGCGCCCUGGGAAGGUGUCUGCAACCCCGGGCUCUUGCCUGCGCAGCUGUCGGUGUUUGGAGCUACAAGGAGCGCAGUGAGGAGACGCGAACCUGGAUACAGAAAACCACGAGCUAAGCUAGAGCAGAGUCCUGAACUCCUCACCAGGAACAUUACUGACAUCCAUCACCGGUCCUUUAG